UUCCUGUUUAACAAAAACAUGUCUUUUUGAUAAAAAUUUAAAGUCUAAUCUGCCCACUGAUAAAUAUAUUAAAGGGCCGCAGUAUUUUGACUGUGCUAAGGUAGCAUAAUCAUUUGUUUUUUAAUUGAAAACUAGUAUGAAUGAUUGAAUGAAUUAUUAAUCUCUCUUAUUAAUAAGAAUAAUAAUUUAAGUUUUUAGUUAAAAUGCUAAAAUGAGUUUAAAAGACGAGAAGACCCUAUAGAUUUUUAUUUUUUUUAGAUAAUUAAAUUUAUAUGAAAUAUUUUAUUAUUAGUAAAAAUUUGAUUGGGGUGAUUAAAAAAUUUUAUUUACUUUUCUUAAAAACUGUCAUAAAUUAAUGUUUAUUUGAUCCUUAAAUAAAGAAAAAAGAUUUAAUUACCUUAGGGAUCACAGCGUUAUUUUUUUAGAAAGAACGCAUUAAUAAAAUAGACCGCGACCCCGACGUUGAAUUAAAGCCCUUUAAAAGUUGAAAUAGUAGGCAUAAA
rnacentral:rRNA from 1 species